GUUUUCUUCAAGAGAGAAUGGAAUCGUAACUGGCCCUUUCUAGUCGGUUUCGCCGUCACCGGUACCAUCAUCACCAAAUUGUCUCUUGGUCUUACUGAGGAGCAAGCGAAGAACUCGCCAUUUGUUCAGAGGCACAAAAAGCACUAGAGUUGGCUGAUGUAUUUUUGUGCUCGUUGGAAGCCUUUUUCUGGCUGGUGAAUAACAAAAGCGCUGAUGCUUAAGAUUUUCUUCUGAACUUUUAUUGAAGAUUAUGUUGCUGGAUGUUUUUUUUGUUGAUAAUGAAACCGUGAGGAAUUUUCUUCAUGAAUUUUAGAAGCCCUUUAAUUAUGAUAUAUACAGGUUUUGUAGUGAAGUUAAUUGACACUUUAAAUGGUGCAUUGAUGGUCAUUGACCUGAUUAUCUCUAUGUAUAGGGGUUGUGUAAUGCUUUUGUUUAAAAAUGCGAUGUCUUACACUUAUGACAGUUAAUAAUGCAUUAUGAAGCUGAUGUAGUGGUUCA